rnacentral:lncRNA from 1 species
CAAACAUAUGUUAUUUUCCAAAUCAUGUCAAAAUGUAUUUGAUGAUUUAUGCAGACAUACUUUGGAUGAUGCCCUCAUUGAUCGUGUCGCCACUUACUAAUAUCUGGGCAUCUGGAUUGACGAAAAGAUAUCUUUCAAAAAGCAUGUUGAUGCGUUAGUUUCUUCUAUAGGAAAAAGUCCUGUCUUUCAUUAAAUAGCAAAAAACAAAUCAAUAGAAAGUAGGCUAAGUCCCUUUGAAGUCUUGUAGAUCGAUGCAUUGCACUCUUUUUGUCUAUAAAGCCCUCUUGCAUAAUCUUCCGCCAUACCUUACCUCACUGUCAACCUUCAGAUGUAUAAGUUACCAGACUCAGGAAUGGCUAACCCUGGAGAUCCCUUCAAUCUCCACUGAAUUAGGUAAAUCUGCUUUUAGUUAUCUUUGCGCUUCUCAUGCGGAAUGGUCUCCAAAGGUCCUUAAAGUUUGAGUUGUUGCCUCUAGGGCAAUGUUCGUGGAUGUUCGAGGGCCUUUUUACUGAAGAAUAUGUUUGUUUCACAUAUUUCAUUGUGUUUUGCUUUACAUGUUUUGUGUUUAAUUUUCAUGUAUUGUGUAAUUGAUGUGUAUAUAGGUAAUUGUUGUUUACUGAUGUGUUCAUACAGGGCUCAUCUACAAAAGAGACCGUGGUCUCAGCAUGACUCCCUGCUUAAAUCAAGAAAUGAUUUCUUAUGGGUACUUAAGAAGAAGAUAUUUUAUUCAUAGUUUUUAGAUGUAUAUGAAAAUGUGUUUUUUUG